GACGAACGCUGGCGGCGUGCUUAACACAUGCAAGUCGAACGGUCCUGUUUUUGAAGCGCUUCGGCGUGGAGGGGACGGGGCAGUGGCGCACGGGUGAGUAAUGCGCGAGGACCUGCCCGCGGGAGGGGGACAGCAGUUGGAAACGGCUGGUGAUACCCCGUAGGCCGGGAGGUGAAAGGGCGGAGACGCCCGCCUGCGGAUGGACUCGCGUCCUAUCAGCUAGUUGGUGAGGCAACGGCUCACCAAGGCGACGACGGGUAGCCGGCCUGAGAGGGUGUCCGGCCACACUGGAACUGAGACACGGUCCAGACUCCUACGGGAGGCAGCAGUGGGGAAUUUUGGGCAAUGGGGGAGACCCUGACCCAGCGACGCCGCGUGAGGGACGAAGGCCCUUGGGUCGUAAACCUCUUUUGCAGGGGAAGAAGAAGAUGACGGUACCUUGCGAACAAGUCCCGGCUAACUACGUG
rnacentral:rRNA from 1 species